rnacentral:rRNA from 1 species
GAUGAACGCUGGCGGCGUGCCUAAUACAUGCAAGUCGAGCGAACAGACGAGGAGCUUGCUCCUCUGACGUUAGCGGCGGACGGGUGAGUAACACGUGGAUAACCUACCUAUAAGACUGGGAUAACUUCGGGAAACCGGAGCUAAUACCGGAUAAUAUAUUGAACCGCAUGGUUCAAUAGUGAAAGGCGGUUUUGCUGUCACUUAUAGAUGGAUCCGCGCCGCAUUAGCUAGUUGGUAAGGUAACGGCUUACCAAGGCAACGAUGCGUAGCCGACCUGAGAGGGUGAUCGGCCACACUGGAACUGAGACACGGUCCAGACUCCUACGGGAGGCAGCAGUGGGGAAUCUUCCGCAAUGGGCGAAAGCCUGACGGAGCAACGCCGCGUGAGUGAUGAAGGUCUUCGGAUCGUAAAACUCUGUUAUUAGGGAAGAACAAAUGUGUAAGUAACUAUGCACGUCUUAACGGUACCUAAUCAGAAAGCCACGGCUAACUACGUG